rnacentral:rRNA from 1 species
AGGACGAACGCUGGCGGCGUGCUUAACACAUGCAAGUCGAGCGGUGAUCCUCCUUCGGGAGGUGAUCAGCGGCGAACGGGUGAGUAACACGUGGGCAACCUGCCCCUCACACUGGGAUAACCUCGGGAAACCGGGGCUAAUACCGGAUACGACCUCGAGCGGCAUCUCUUGAGGUGGAAAGCUCCGACGGUGAGGGAUGGGCCCGCGGCCUAUCAGCUUGUUGGUGGGGUAAUGGCCUACCAAGGCGACGACGGGUAGCCGGCCUGAGAGGGCGACCGGGCCACGACUGGGACUGAGACACGGCCCAGACUCCUACGGGAGGCAGCAGUGGGGAAUAUUGCGCAAUGGGCGAAAGCCUGACGCAGCGACGCCGCGUGAGGGAUGAAGGCCUUCGGGUUGUAAACCUCUUUCAGCAGGGACGAAGCGAAAGUGACGGUACCUGCAGAAGAAGCACCGGCUAACUACGUGCCAGCAGCCGC